GUGAAUCAUCGAAUUUUUGAACGCAAAUUGCGCCUUCUUUCGGGAGGCAUGUCUGUUUGAGGGCACCAUUUAACAACUAAUGUGAGCGUCGUCUGUGCAUACUAGCGGCGUGCACACUUUGAUGAGCUUUUCCGAGAAAACCAGGUUUUUUCGGUGGCGCAUAAUGAACGCCGUGGUCUUUUUCUUUCGUUUCUCGUGUAGUAAGCAAAUUUCGACGCUUUGGUCGUGAAAAAUUCCGUG
rnacentral:misc_RNA from 1 species